UACGGGGGGGCAAGCGUUGUUCGGAAUUACUGGGCGUAAAGGCUCGUAGGCGGCCAACUAAGUCAGACGUGAAAUCCCUCGGCUUAACCGGGGAACUGCGUCUGAUACUGGAUGGCUUGAGGUUGGGAGAGGGAUGCGGAAUUCCAGGUGUAGCGGUGAAAUGCGCAGAUAUCAGGAGGAACACCGGUGGCGAAGGCGGGUCUCUGGGACGUUACUGACACUGAGGCGCGAAAGCGUGGGGAGCGAACAGG
rnacentral:rRNA from 1 species